rnacentral:rRNA from 1 species
GAUGAACGCUGGCGGCGUGCCUAAUACAUGCAAGUCGAGCGAACGGACGAGAAGCUUGCUUCUCUGAUGUUAGCGGCGGACGGGUGAGUAACACGUGGAUAACCUACCUAUAAGACUGGGAUAACUUCGGGAAACCGGAGCUAAUACCGGAUAAUAUUUUGAACCGCAUGGUUCAAAAGUGAAAGACGGUCUUGCUGUCACUUAUAGAUGGAUCCGCGCUGCAUUAGCUGGUUGGUAAGGUAACGGCUUACCAAGGCAACGAUGCAUAGCCGACCUGAGAGGGUGAUCGGCCACACUGGAACUGAGACACGGUCCAGACUCCUACGGGAGGCAGCAGUAGGGAAUCUUCCGCAAUGGGCGAAAGCCUGACGGGGCAACGCCGCGUGAGUGAUGAAGGUCUUCGGAUCGUAAAACUCUGUUAUUAGGGAAGAACAUAUGUGUAAGUAACUGUGCACAUCUUGACGGUACCUAAUCAGAAAGCCACGGCUAACUACGUG